UACGUAGGUGGCGAGCGUUAUCCGGAAUUACUGGGUGUAAAGGGCGCGCAGGCGGCCCUGCAAGUCGGAUGUGAAAGAUCAAGGCUCAACCUUGACAGGCCAUUCGAAACUGUGGGACUUGAGUGUCAGAGGGGAAAGUGGAAUUCCUAGUGGAGCGGUAAAAUGCGCAGAUAUUAGGAGGAACACCGGUGGCGAAGGCGACUUUCUGGCUGACAACUGACGCUGAGGCGCGAAAGCGUGGGGAGGCAAACAGGAUUAGAUACCCU
rnacentral:rRNA from 1 species